UUUAAAACAUGUAAUCUAAAAUAAUUAAUAUUAAUAAAAUUAUACUAUUGAUUCAAUUAAUAAUAUAAAUUUGAGGCCUAAAAAAAUGUGAGACUCGUCCCCAUGAGCUUAACUCAGUUGGUAGGAACAUCACACAAUAUGUGCAGAAGCCGAGGUUUGAACUUUGGACACUCUACUUAUUCACCUUUAAGGUAAACUUUUUAGCCACUAAACUACUUGACAAAAGAAAAAUGUGAGGCUCAAAUUGUCUCAGUUGCCUCUCCUUGGAGCGACCGUAAAUGUGUUGAGACACGUGUGUUAAAAAAUGUGUUUUUAUUUUUAACAUUUUUUAUGACUUAUUUUUUAACAUUGCUCUAUUUGAAAUUUAACUUUUUAAAGUUGCUUAUUGGACAAUAAUAUAAUAUAAAUAAUAUUUCGAUAAACAUAAUUCAAAUGGUAAAAACAUUGCUAUAUGUAGGAUGUAGGAUUAUUGGUCGAAAUUCAAAUCUCAAACUCUUCACUUAUUCACUUUAAAAAUAAAUUUUUUAGGGUUAAGUUACUUAAAAAAUAAAUAAAUAUAAAUGAUUAUUAAUUGCAUGUCUGUCACUCCACAGCACAAAAAGGGUUUAACUUAUACCAGUAAUCAAUCAAUCAUUUGGAGGUAUUAAAACCAAAAAGGGUGGAAGAAAAUUAGAACCGCUGGAUUUUCUGUCAUCUCCGCCUCUGGAUGAAGCUGAUUGACACACAGUAACUCCACAAACAAAUAAGACAGAGGAACGAAACCUGCAACCACCACAACUCCUCCCUCCCUCCCAAUAAGAAUUCAUUCUCAUUUCGAUUUCUUGUGGUUGUAGCCACCACCACCUAUUUGGCUGCUUCCACCGAGAUCACUCCACCAUAGAUAGAAUAAUUAUGGGUACUGAUUCCAAUGGAUGGAACCGUGCUCGAGGAUUAGCAGUCAAGGCUCUCUUACUCAUCGGNNN
rnacentral:lncRNA from 1 species